AGUUACCAGCACGUUAUGGUGGGCACUCUAAGGAGACUGCCGGUGACAAACCGGAGGAAGUGGGGAUGACGUCAAGUCAUCAUGGCCCUUACGGCCUGGGCUACACACGUGCUACAAUGGUCGGUACAAAGGGUUGCCAAGCCGCGAGGUGGAGCUAAUCCCAUAAAACCGAUCGUAGUCCGGAUCGCAGUCUGCAACUCGACUGCGUGAAGUCGGAAUCGCUAGUAAUCGUGAAUCAGAAUGUCACGGUGAAUACGUUCCCGGGCCUU
rnacentral:rRNA from 2 species